rnacentral:rRNA from 1 species
UAAUACAGAGGGUGCAAGCGUUGUUCGGAAUUAUUGGGCGUAAAGGGAGUGUAGGCUGUUUGUUAAGUCUUCUGUGAAAUCUACGGGCUUAGCCUGUAACGUGCAGAGGAAACUGGCAGACUUGAGUGUCGGAGAGGGCAGGGGAAUACCCAGUGUAGAGGUGAAAUUCGUAGAGAUUGGGUGGAACACCAGUGGCGAAGGCGCCUGCCUGGCUGACAACUGACGCUGAGACUCGAAAGCAUGGGGAGCAAACAGGAUUAGAUACCCUGGUAGUCCAUGCCGUAAACGAUGAUAGCUAGAUGUGUGCGGUAUUGACCCCGUACGUGUCGAAGCCAACGCGAUAAGCUAUCCGCCUGGGGAGUACGGUCGCAAGAUUAAAACUCAAAUGAAUUGACGG